rnacentral:rRNA from 1 species
GCAUAAUAAAUUGACUUUUAAUUGGGGCCUAGAAUGAAUGGGUACAUGGAUAAUUUCUGUCUCAAGUAAAUUUAUUUUAAGUUACUUAAAAGGUGAAAAUUCCUUUAAUAUAUAAAUAAGACGAGAAGACCCUAGGAGUUUGAAAUUUUGUUGGGGCGACAAUAUAGCAUAUAACCUAUAUAAUAAUAUAAAAUAUAACAAAUAAUAUUAAUAGUAAUUAAACUACCCUAGGGAUAACAGCACAAUUUUAUUUAAGUUUGUGACCUCGAUGUUGGACUAGGAACUUUUAAUAUUAACAGUAUUAAUUGGUAGUUCUGUUCGA